AAUAGAGCAAAUAUUUUUUUUGUUUUAAUGUUGUCAUUAUUUUUCAGUCAUUUUGCAGGAAACACUUUCCAUCCAUCCAUCCCAAUGGCACUACAGCCCAUGGAGGGCUUUAGCUGGCUUCAACACAUCCCUCCAUUCAGAUCUCUCCUUAGCCUUUUAUCUCCGUCACUAUCUGUGGGUCUUCAUACAAUUGAUAUAUCUCAUGUAUCUGCAUUAUUCAACACAUUCAGAGAGGAAGCAGCAGCUCAAACUUCAAAAUUUUUGAGUCUUUCAAUCUUGCUGUUGUCACGUUCUCCACUGUUGGCUAUGGAGAUGUUUCCUCUGACAUUUGGCUGGGCCGACUCUUAAUGAUUCUAACCAUUGCCCUGGCAUUUGUUUUUAUACCUAGCCAGAAUAGAGAUGUAAUUCUGCUGUGUCCCCUUGAGUUGGAAACCAGUAGGCAAGUCUUCUAAUAGAGGUCAUGUACAUCAAGGGAUCAGCACUAAAAGAUGUGGACCUGAUGUGGUGUCAAGCUGAUGAAGCUUUUGCUUGCUUCUUUUGGCUGUUCGUUUAACAAGACAAAGCACAUACUGAUCGUCAUACCAUUUUAAGAUCCUGGGAUGUGAAAGUCUUUGCACCGGACUGUCGUCAGUAUCUUUACCUCUUCCAUGCCGGCAAUAAAAUACAUCUGAAACUUGUUGGUGAGCCAUGGCAGCAGACGUAUAGAAGGCAUGCUGGGAAUGAAAUUCAUCACAUACAGCUGCAAAAAAGUAUUUUCAUUGGUAAUUAUGUGGGCUGCACAAGCCUCAGCUGAUGCUCACCAAAGGUCAGUGUAUGCAAGUAUAGUUUUGUACAUUGAUACAAUAGAUAAGCAGUUUUUAUGAUUGCUUUAUUAUAUUAAGCAGAUCCCUUUAAAAAAAAGUUACUUCAAAAUGUAUUGGCCCAUCAGUCAUGUGAAUAAUAAUGUUUUCAUAGCCAAAUGACAUAAUUAUAAAAAAAAGUUCCCCUUUCAGACCAUGGGGCUGAUGAUUUUCAUCUGUUUCUCUGGCCCAUGGUUAAAUAGGGUGUCAUGAGGCCAGCACAACAACCAACCACUAAACCCAAAGAUCCCAAAAUUAGAAAUUCGAGUCUUUGACAGGAUUUGAACCCGGGACCCCUGGUUCAGAUAGCUAAGUGCUUUACCACUCAGCUACUGCGCCUCCAAUUAACAAAAGAGCAUAGUAGCAGAAUCUUGUCUUGUUUUUCUAAGUACUAUUCAUGUGGCCUUGUUCUGAAUACGUUGCAUCUUUUGUCAUCAAGUAUACCUGCUAGCACGGCGUUGCAGUAGUCAAGGCGAGAGAGUAUGAAUGCCACAUCGGCGUUGUUCUGAAUACAUUGCAUCUUGGCUAUUUUGUCAUCAGGUAUACCUUCUAGCACGGCGUUGCAGUAGUCAAGGCGAGAGAGUAUGAAUGCCACAGCUAGCAUUUUUGUUGACUCAACACAUUUGGAUCUACUAGUGGACCUCUUUUAAUAGUUCAUUUCACAUAACACUUUUUCAUUAAUGUGGCUGUAGAGAGAUGUUCCUUUCCACAUGUGUCCCAGGUUAAGGUGACAUUUGGCAUGCUUUUUUUUCCAGAACUGAGGCAAAUCUUUUUCGCUGUCCAUACCUUUCUUGGUUACCAUUUCUUUACAUAGUGUGUACAUCUGGAACCUGUCGUGAAUUGUCCAUAAAAAUAACACUUGGUAUAUGAUUGUCCUGCAGGACCAAGCCAGCUCAGACGUCGUUGUCUGAGGAUUGUAAAGAUAUUUGGAAGACCAAUUUUAUCAAGUAACUUUAUAAAUGUUAUAAUAUCAUUAGCUCUUGGAAAUCCUAUGCCGAACUGGGAGUCGAACACUUAGUGAGGUUGUGACUGAACGUCGCAUGAGGUUUGCGGGACAUGUUCUACGUCAAAAUGAAUUACGCACACCAAGAGUUGCGAUAACAUGGAAGCCAAAACAAGGAAAGCGCAAACAGGGACGUCCUCGUAUUACCUGGCGACACACCUUCAUGGAGGACCUCAGAACAGUGGACACCAGGUGGGAGGAGGCUUCAGACAUUACCAGUGACAGAUCAUUAUGGAGACAGCUUGCCGCCCAAUGCGCUGAACGGCGCCGGAGGACCUAUGUCUAAAAUGUUGAGUCAGAUAUUGAAGCCAGAGCUUUGUAUCUAAGUCAAAGACCACUAGUAUUUGACAGUGUUUACAGAGGACAAGAUGUCCCAGCUCAGUCCAAAAUUCAUAAAGACUGUGUCUCAGCGAAGCAUAAGAGUUGGUCUUGGAUUCAAACAGUCAAUGAAUGUUUAGGCAUUCAUAGUGAAAAUACUGCUAACUAUCAUCAGUUCUACCAUGAUGUUUGCCACCUGGAAGAAGACAUGCUUUCAUUCUUGCUUUGGAUGGACAGUUCAACAGUUAGAGCUCAAGUCAAGACUCAAGAUCCUGAUGUCAUGUUAAAACAUUUCAGAUUAAUAAACAAUUGUUGGACUAUCAGGGCUAGUUAGAUCUUCUCACAGAGCGAAGUUGAGAUAUUCACCCAGUUCAUCACCGCCAGGAACUGCCAGAAUGGCAUUUGAAGGCUAGAGCUCUUGUCCAAUAUCAGCACAAACAUGUGUCAUUAGCAAAAGGAAACUUUGUCAAGAUUUUGGAAAAUUUUGAUGCUGAAAGAUGGAAGAUGGAAUAGAAAGUGAAGUCCCUGCUAUUGUGUUGGUCAUUCCUUCCUGCUUCCAACAGAUUGAUAAAUUAGGAGAACAAAUCAAGGUCAAUAGUUCUAUUGAUUGCUGCUGAUAAAUGGUCACAUUUAAUCCAGUUUUUAAGUGCUGCUAUUUCCCAGACACAGUCCAAAGAUUUAUGUUUUUCCUGCUGAAGAUGAUGAAUGAGGCAGCAGACAUCUUGAAAGGAGCUGAUUUCGAGUUCCUUCAACAGUCUUUUCAUUUUAUUUAGGAAGAAGCUCAUCAGUCACUUCAAACCAGGUGAUGAUGGAGUCAUAAACAGUAGGAUACAGAGGUGAAACAAAACUGGAGCUUUAGUUUGUUUGUUUGUAGAACUUGGCAUCUACUCCAGACAUUAUUCUGAAGAACACUCAAGUAAAAGAAAAGAAGAAAUGUUAAAGGUUAAGGACUUGGGCUCCAAUCAUACUUACACUUCAAAAGCUUUAAUUUGAAAGGUCUUAUAUUUUUGUGGAAAUAAAUUUUACUAGUGGAGUUUUUGUAGCUGCCAGAGUGGAUCAAGGUGGAUGUGAUAUCUAUUUAUAAACAUGUAUACCAGUAUAUUGUAAUCAGUGAUUUUCAUUUUCUGGUAACAGUUUGUUUCCAUUUAGAUUGCAGUCUUUCUUAUGUGAAAACAAGAUGUCUGCAUAAUCUUAGAGUACAUUUUUAAACUCAUUUAAAUUUAUUAGAUGAAAUAUUUAUAAAACAUACAAUGUAAAUUGUUUUGUAAAAUGAUUAUACAUUUGAGUUCAUAAAAAUGUGUAAUUUUUUAAUGGCAUCAUGUUUCUGCUUAUCUGUAUCUGAUACUGAUGAUUGUUUUCUAAAUCUAUUACUGCUUCACCAUUGAGGAAAAACUGCACAUGUUUAAAUCCAUAUCUGAAGUAACUUUCCAGAAAAAAAAAGAUCUAUGUAUGUAAGACAGUGUCCAAAAUUUCAAAUCAUUUCCUUCAAAAUGUUAUCAAUUUCCUCCAUAACUUCAUAACAUUAUUGAAUUUUUUCCUUCAGAACACAAUUGUAAA